rnacentral:rRNA from 1 species
UAAGGAAUAUUGGUCAAUGGACGCAAGUCUGAACCAGCCAUGCCGCGUGGAGGAUGAAGGUCCUCUGGAUUGUAAACUUCUUUUAUCUGGGACGAAACACUUCUUUUCUAAGAGGCCUGACGGUACCAGAUGAAUAAGCACCGGCUAACUCCGUGCCAGCAGCCGCGGUAAUACGGAGGGUGCAAGCGUUAAUCGGAAUCACUGGGCGUAAAGCGCGCGUAGGCCGUCUUUUAAGUCGGACGUGAAAGCCCUCGGCUCAACCGGGGAACUGCGUUCGAUACUGGGAGACUUGAGUCCUGGAGAGGGUGGCGGAAUUCCGGGUGUAGGAGUGAAAUCCGUAGAUAUCCGGAGGAACACCGGUGGCGAAGGCGGCCACCUGGACAGGUACUGACGCUGAGGCGCGAAAGCGUGGGGAGCAAACA